rnacentral:ncRNA from 1 species
AUUCAUCUUCGGGGCAGGGUGUAAAUCCCGACCGGCGGUAAUAGAGUUGUAAAUCGCUAAUGUUUCCUUUAAGGCACAUUAGCUCGAAUGAUUUACUAAAGACUCUUCAGCCCGCGACCUGUGCAAAUAUUUUUUUGCAUGGCUGACUUGGUGCAAUUCCAAGGCCGACAGUUAUAGUCUGGAUGGGAGAAGAUGGAG